AAGACAAUACUUUCAGGGAUCAUUUCUCUAGUAUGUGACUAGGAGUUUCUCUGAUCGUGUAAAGCACCCGUAGCCACGAGGAGGAGCCAGAGAGUCCUCUCCUGAGCCUGAAGCCGGCCCUAGGCGUAGCUUCUGCGACUGCCUCCUGCCAUGGAUGAUCAUUCUCCCUUUACUCUGGAAAGGGUAGAGGGAGAGGAUGCAGUCUGAGUGGU